CCUCAAGUGGGUCUCUGAAGUAGAAUCAGGCCAAGCCCCACAUGGGUUUUACGGAUGAGGCUUGGAGGAUGUGUCCUUUUGCAGAACACGGUCUGGUACAGCAGGGGACUGGGCCAUCUCCCAGGGAAUUCUGGCCUUUCUGAAUGUGUUCAGGAGUCUCCCAGGUGAACAGGGGCUCGUGUCCAAAAGGUAAGGAUCAGCACCCUUUCGCAGAAUUCAGGAGUGCAAAGGGACCUAGAGGAUGCUAUCGAAGUUACAGGUGGGAUAAGCUGUUUUCUGGUAGGACUCAAUGAAGGCAUAAGGAGGUGAUGGGCCUCUGAGGUCUGAAUUCUUGGAAGCAUAGUGCCCAGUUUGGAGUACCAAAAUUAGAAAUGGUCCUCAGGGUACAUGGUCCUCCAUUCCUCCUGAAUCCAGCGAGAGAGCAAGCCACGUGUAUAAGCAUGCCCCUCCAUCCCCGUGUGCACAGACUACCAACCAAACAUUCACCUUCCACUGCAAUGCACUAUUGCUGUUUAGUGCAGGCUGGUGUUCCCAGGACAAACGGGGUGACAUUCAACUUAAACAUGCUUCACCUUGGCUUCAGGGACCAAGAAGGAAGGUCCCCGGGCUGGGGGUGGUGGUAGAAACGGAGGGAGUGGACCAGGUCUUGGGCUCUUGAGCAUUUCUCUUGCCACCUCUCAGCCUACCUGCACGAUUUCUCACACGUUCAGUUGCAUCUCUUAUCAUCUUAAAGGCACACAUUGACAGGAAGUCCUGGACAGUCAAAAAAAAAACAACCACACAGAGACAGAGCAGGAGAGGAAGCGGGCCCCAGUAGAAGUGGACGAGAGAACAUUGGGCCUGGGGGUGGCUCAAAAGAAAGGAGGAGAGAGAGCACACAGUAGAAAAAGGAAGAGACAGAGAAGGAAAAACCUGUCAUGGAAAAUCCCAAAGGGAAGUGCGUAGGGGUCAAGGAGUCCGGAAGGGGCCAGAGAGGUAGAAGCUUGGAGUAGUGUGUUCCUUCUUUUUCCUCUGUCUUGAGAAUAGCAUUCAAUGUCACUGUGUUCCUACAGCAGACGUCAGGCAUUUGCCCCCGCCUUGACUGCUCCGACGAGGUCAACAUAGGGUUUCCGUCACAGAAUAUGUGUAGGGAGGAAGAUCAGAAGACUUGGGUCUUGCCCAUCUACCACUCCCCCAUAGCACGCAUGAGUCCUCAAUGGCAUGCACACCUCUCUGUGUUUUUUAUGUCCAGCCUUCUGGGCAGAGCUGUCGGGAGGUUGAUGUAGGCCAGGUGUGAGGAGGACAGGUGUGUUUGGGAUGGAACCUAACUCCCC
rnacentral:lncRNA from 10 species